ensembl:lncRNA
AGCUAAUAUAAACAUGGACUUUGAGGAGAGCAUGAGUUUACCUGCGUUUAUCAAGGGACUUACAACUUCACCUGUGUGUAAGAAAUUGCACCCUGGUACAAAAUGGAUUGGAUUAUCUAUUUGACAGCUACCAAGAUGAGUAAAAAAGCAACAAUAAUUGCAGUGUUAAGUUUAGUAUUAUGUAGCACCAGUCUUCAAACACAAGCAACAACAACAGCUGGAACUACAAACGUAACUCCACAAACAACUGAACCUACAACUGUGGUAACGACAAACUCACCUACAACUGCAACUCCACUUCCAACGACCGUA